UACAGAGGUCUCAAGCGUUGUUCGGAUUCAUUGGGCGUAAAGGGUGCGUAGGUGGCGCGGUAAGUCGGGUGUGAAAUCUCGGAGCUUAACUCCGAAAUUGCAUUCGAUACUGCCGUGCUCGAGGACUGGGAGAGGAGACUGGAAUUCAUGGUGUAGCAGUGAAAUGCGUAGAGAUCAUGAGGAAGACCAGUGGCGAAGGCGGGUCUCUGGACAGUUCCUGACACUGAGGCACGAAGGCCGGGGAGCAAACGGGAUUAG
rnacentral:rRNA from 1 species